GAUGAACGCUGGCGGCGUGCCUAAUACAUGCAAGUCGAGCGAACGGACGAGAAGCUUGCUUCUCUGAUGUUAGCGGCGGAAGGGUGAGUAACACGUGGAUAACCUACCUAUAAGACUGGGAUAACUUCGGGAAACCGUAGCUAAUACCGGAUAAUAUUUUGAACCGCAUGGUUCAAAAGUGAAAGACGGUCUUGCUGUCACUUAUAGAUGGAUCCGCGCUGCAUUAGCUAGUUGGUAAGGUAACGGCUUACCAAGGCAACGAUGCAUAGCCGACCUGAGAGGGUGAUCGGCCACACUGGAACUGAGACACGGUCCAGACUCCUACGGGAGGCAGCAGUAGGGAAUCUUCCGCAAUGGGCGAAAGCCUGACGGAGCAACGCCGCGUGAGUGAUGAAGGUCUUCGGAUCGUAAAACUCUGUUAUUAGGGAAGAACAUAUGUGUAAGUAACUGUGCACGUCUUGACGGUACCUAAUCAGAAAGCCACGGCUAACUACGUG
rnacentral:rRNA from 1 species